GCCACAUUGGGACUGAGACACGGCCCAAACUCCUACGGGAGGCAGCAGUGGGGAAUAUUGGACAAUGGGCGAAAGCCUGAUCCAGCCAUGCCGCGUGAGUGAUGACGGCCUUAGGGUUGUAAAGCUCUUUCGUCAGGGACGAUAAUGACGGUACCUGAAGAAGAAGCCCCGGCUAACUUCGUGCCAGCAGCCGCGGUAAUACGAAGGGGGCUAGCGUUGUUCGGAAUUACUGGGCGUAAAGCGCAUGUAGGCGGGUCUUUAAGUCAGGGGUGAAAUGCCAAGGCUCAACCUUGGAACUGCCUUUGAUACUGGAGAUCUUGAGUCCGGGAGAGGUGAGUGGAACUGCGAGUGUAGAGGUGAAAUUCGUAGAUAUUCGCAAGAACACCAGUGGCGAAGGCGGCUCACUGGCCCGGAACUGACGCUGAGAUGCGAAAGCGUGGGGAGCAAACAGGAUUAGAUACCCUGGUAGUCCACGCCGUAAACGAUGGAUGCUAGCCGUUAGGCAGCUUGCUAUUUAGUGGCGCAGUUAACACUUUAAGCAUCCCGCCUGGGGAGUACGGUCGCAAGAUUAAAACUCAAAGGAAUGACGG
rnacentral:rRNA from 1 species